UCAGAUUAGCGCAGUUCAUUUCUAUUCAGUUCCGUUUAACUAAGUUCAAUUAAAUUUAGGUUCAGUCAAAAAUCACCAAAAGACACCGGACAAGAGAAAAAACACUAAUACAAAUUCUAGUUCUUGUCAUGUAAGGUAAGUUUUGUCUUAAAUGAACAAAUUUGACUUGGUCCAGUCAAAUUAAUGCAUUCAAAUUUAGCACAGCAUUCAGACAGCAUAAACAUGAAACACAUUCACCGUGCAAAGUAAAACUUUAAACUAAAUAUUGUUGUUCAUGCCCACUCAUAAUUGCAGAGAAAUAGUGCUUGCUGAAGCAAAUGUAAUCAGUUAUUGAAGGGCAGCAAUCAUGUGAUCACAGCUUUCAGAGUCUGAGUAAAUGUCAGGUUGUAGAAAGCACUUGUGAUAACAUUUUACUGCUCGCCCUUUGGUUCCUCAUCUGCAGCACAUUCUACUCCUUCUUUACAAUCAUUCCCUGACGAGCACUGGGGCCUUCAGUGGCACAAAAAGGAGAUGAGGGAAUAAAAAUAGAACUGCUAAUUAAGUGGCUGUCACCACAAACCAAAAGCAGCGGCUGCAUUGUGAGCUGCCACUUCAGAAAUGUUUCCCACAGCAUUCUGUUCUUUGCAAAGUCUCUCUCCGAGGUCACAGGAGUGCUGCCAGGGACUUUAGUCCCUUGUGCAUUUCAUGGCAAUCAAUCUGAGGAGAUGCAGAACUUAUCUAGUUACAAACACAAGCAAACAUGGGCAGAGUGCAGCCAGGUCGACCAAUAGGAGUCAGGGAAACGACAACAGUGUGCGGCAGGAGGCUUGUAAUGAAGAGGGGAAGGAAGGGAGGAGGAGAAAGAAAAGCUGCAAGAAGGAGAGAGUAAUGGAGAGGAAACAGAAGAAACAACAUUCUGACAAGAGAGCGGGCAGUAAUGGCUAGCUGAACCGUCUUUCAUCAGGAGGUAAUGAUAUGAAACCUGUAAUCUCCAUGGGGGUGGCACGGUGGUAGGAAGAUCAGAUUACUAAUUAUAGUCUACUGGGAUUCCUGAAGGAGAGCAUGAUGGGAGGCAGCCACAUGGGAAAAUAUCCAAUCCUUAAGUGUGUGCGACACCGCCAUCAGCCUAAUUAUCAUGGAUGGAUGGAAGCUCAGCACUUCAGCAACAGGAGCAACAGUUCUUCAAAUGUCCUUUGCUGUCACACAUUUUCUCUUCUCCAGUGUGGAAAUCACUCAAGUAAAAAGAUUCUGGAUUAUGUGAAUAUCUUUGGAUUAAAGGCUUAGAUUCUGUUUACUGAUUCAGUACGUUAGAUUCUCUGUGCGUUAUGAUAUUUUCUGUGUGUGUUGUGUCGCUGCGCUUUUCACACAGAAGGAUUUCUCUCCCUCUCUUCCCCCCCCCCCCCCCUAAUGUGGCGAAUGGUUGACUUUCAAAGAUGAUUUUUGGGCAAACAUGGACCCUCGCUGUGAUCUGAGUUUUUCCUGAACUCCAAAAGUGUCAAAAUGAUUGAAAUGGGAAACUAAAACCACUCAAGGACAUUGGGACAGUGAACAAAUCUCCCCCAUAUCCAAUUUUUCCGGUAUCUCCCAUCAUCAAGAAUCUUCAUUGCAACAACCGGGUGUGAAUGUGCUGUUAUUGCAGCCUGGACAGUUCGGGGAAGGAGUUCAGCCACAUUCUGCCACCUCACCUCUGUGAUUUGCUGCUGUUGGCUGCCAGAGUAUUAAUGAACUUCAGUAAUGUGUUGGGCAGGAAGAACGGACUUGCAGGCUGUUUUCAAAUCCAGCCCUGAGGUGCAGAAUCGACUUGAUAAUUAAACUGUGGUACUUGAAACCUGAUUGGAUGGAAAACGCAUGUCUUACAGAUGUAAUGUAAAACUGAAAUGUUCAUAAGCACUCAGGAAGACUGAGUCUAUCUCAUGUUGCC